rnacentral:rRNA from 1 species
AGUGAACGCUGGCGGUAGGCCUAACACAUGCAAGUCGAACGGCAGCACAGUAAGAGCUUGCUCUUACGGGUGGCGAGUGGCGGACGGGUGAGGAAUACAUCGGAAUCUACUUUUUCGUGGGGGAUAACGUAGGGAAACUUACGCUAAUACCGCAUACGACCUACGGGUGAAAGCAGGGGAUCUUCGGACCUUGCGCGAUUGAAUGAGCCGAUGUCGGAUUAGCUAGUUGGCGGGGUAAAGGCCCACCAAGGCGACGAUCCGCAGCUGGUCUGAGAGGAUGAUCAGCCACACUGGAACUGAGACACGGUCCAGACUCCUACGGGAGGCAGCAGUGGGGAAUAUUGGACAAUGGGCGCAAGCCUGAUCCAGCCAUAUCGCGUGGGUGAAGAAGGCCUUCGGGUUGUAAAGCCCUUUUGUUGGGAAAGAAAAGCAGCAGGUUAAUACCCCGCUGUUCUGACGGUACCCAAAGAAUAAGCACCGGCUAACUUCGUG